UUCUCUAGCCGGCCCUAUUUUCUUUUUCUCUGAGUUUCUUCUUCCUCUACUAGUUAGGGGUGAUUUUAGGUCAUAUAUAUUUGGCCUAAAAUCACCCCUCUUCACCUUUUUUCUUGUUGUUUUCAAUCUAAAUAAGUGAUUUUUCACAUAGAUUAAGUUUUUUAGUUGUUUUUCUUUUUUAUUUGUGUGAUAUCGUCGUCUGAGU
rnacentral:lncRNA from 1 species